rnacentral:rRNA from 1 species
AGCGAACGCUGGCGGCAGGCCUAACACAUGCAAGUCGAACGAACCUUUCGGGGUUAGUGGCGGACGGGUGAGUAACACGGUGGAACGUGCCUUUAGGUUCGGAAUAACGCAGGGGAACUUGUGCUAAUACCGAAUGUGCCCUUCGGUGGAAAGAUUUAUCGCCUAUAGAGCGUCCCGCGUCUGAUUGGCUAGUUGGUUGAGUUAAUGGCUCACCAAGGCGACGAUCAUUAGCUGGUCUGAGAGGCUGAUCAGACACAUUGGGACUGAGACACGGCCCAAACUCGUACGGGAGGCAGCAGUGGGGAAUAUUGAGCAAUGGGCGAAAGACUGACGCAGCCAUGCCGAGUGAACGAUGAAGGUGUUAGGAUUGUAAAAUUCUUUCACCGGGGAGGAUAAUGACGGUACCCGGAGAAGAAGCCCCGGAUAACUUCG